AUUAGUACCCCUCCGUCCCAAAAUAAGUGCAGCCAUGAUUUUCCGCGUCCAACUUUGAUCAUUCGUCUUAUUUGAAAAAAAAAUAAAAACAUAAGUCACAAGUAAAGUACUAUUCAUAUUUUAUCAUCUUAUAACAACAAAAAUGCUAAUUAUAAAAAAAUUUCAAAUAAGACGGACGAUUAAAGUUGGGUGCAGAAACUCAUGGCUGCACUUAUUUUGGGACGGAGGUA
rnacentral:pre_miRNA from 1 species